rnacentral:rRNA from 1 species
UAAGCACCCAUAAGGGCUAAUGGUGGAUGCCUAGAUUGUAAGAGGCGAUGAAAGACGUAUUAGGCUGCGAUAAGCCUCGGGGAGCUGCCAAAGAGCUUUGAUCCGGGGAUUUCUGAAUGGGGCAACCCAGUAUAGUGAGAACUAUAUUACCCUACGGGGAGCUAACCUGGUGAAGUGAAACAUCUCAGUAGCCAGAGGAAGAGAAAUCAAACGAGAUUCCGUUAGUAGCGGCGAGCGAACGCGGAUUAGGACAAACCCUAUGCUUGCAUAGGGGGUUGUAGGACUAUAAUGUGAGACUAGAGAGGAUAGAGGAAUUACCUGGAAAGGUAAAGCAUAGAGGGUGAUACUCCCGUAUUUAAAAUUCUCAAUAGCUCUAAUAGUAUCCUGAGUAGGUCGGAACACGUGAUAUUUUGACUGAAACUGGGGGGACCACCCUCCAAUCCUAAAUACUACUUACAAAUCGAUAGUGAACAAGUACCGUGAGGGAAAGGUGAAAAGUACUCCAGCGAGGAGAGUGAAAUAGAACCUGAAACCAUUAGCUUACAAUCAUUCGGAGCCCUAUGAUUUAUCAGGGUGACGGACUGCCUUUUGCAUAAUGAGCCUGCGAGUUGUGGUGUCUGGCAAGGUUAAGUCAAGUACGAAGCCGUAGCGAAAGCGAGUCUUAAUAGGGCGUAUAGUCAGAUGCUGCAGACCCGAAACGAAGUGAUCUAUCCAUGAGCAGGUUGAAGCUGGUGUAAGAGCCAGUGGAGGACCGAACCCGCAGGCGUUGAAAAGUCUUGGGAUGACUUGUGGAUAGGGGUGAAAGGCCAAUCAAACUUCGUGAUAGCUGGUUCUCUCCGAAAUAUAUUUAGGUAUAGCCUUGUGUUGUAGCAUAUAGGGGUAGAGCACUGAAUGGGCUAGGGCUGCUUACCGCGGUACCAAACCCUAUCAAACUAUGAAUACUAUAUGUGGAAUCACAGGAGUCAGGCGGUGGGUGAUAAAAUCAGUCGUCAAGAGGGGAACAACCCAGACUAACAGCUAAGGUCCCUAAGUUACAUCUAAGUGGAAAACGAUGUGGAGUUACUGUGACAACCAGGAGGUUGGCUUAGAAGCAGCCAUCCUUUAAAGAAAGCGUAACAGCUCACUGGUCUAGUGAUUCUGCGCGGAAAAUAUAACGGGGCUAAGAUGUGCACCGAAGCUUUAGACUUGUUUUUAACAAGUGGUAGGAGAGCGUUCUAUUCAGCGUUGAAGGUAUACCGGUAAGGAGUGCUGGAGCGGAUAGAAGUGAGCAUGCAGGCAUGAGUAGCGAUAAUUGAGGUGAGAAUCCUCAACGCCGAAAACCCAAGGUUUCCUACGCGAUGCUCGUCAUCGUAGGGUUAGUCGGGUCCUAAGUCGAGUCCGAAAGGGGUAGACGAUGGCAAAUUGGUUAAUAUUCCAAUACCAACAUAUAAGCGCGAUGUGGGGACGCAUAGAGUUAAUCGAGGUCACGGAUGGAAGUGUGGCUCGAAGGACGUAGGUUGUUAUUCAGGCAAAUCCGGAUAACGUUAGACCGAGAUCUUACAGGCUCUUGACACUCUUCGGAGGAGAUGGAGAAUCGAUGAUACUGUCGUGCCAAGAAAAGCCACUAAGUUUAUUAUAUGUUGCCCGUACCGUAAACCGACACAGGUGGGUGGGAUGAGUAUUCUAAGGCGCGUGGAAGAACCCUGGUUAAGGAACUCUGCAAACUAGCACCGUAUCUUCGGUAUAAGGUGUGCCUACUUUUGUAUAUGGACUUGCUCCAAAAAGCGAAAGAGGUUGCAACAAAGAGUCCCUCCCGACUGUUUACCAAAAACACAGCACUUUGCUAACACGUAAGUGGAUGUAUAAGGUGUGACGCCUGCCCGGUGCUCGAAGGUUAAUUGAUGGUGUCAGCGCAAGCAAAGCACUUGAUCGAAGCCCGAGUAAACGGCGGCCGUAACUAUAACGGUCCUAAGGUAGCGAAAUUCCUUGUCGGUUAAAUACCGACCUGCAUGAAUGGCGUAACGAGAUGGGAGCUGUCUCAACCAGGGAUCCAGUGAAAUUGUAGUGGAGGUGAAAAUUCCUCCUACCCGCGGAAAGACGGAAAGACCCCGUGCACCUUUACUACAGCUUGACACUGUAGCUUGGAUAUUCAUGUGCAGGAUAGGUGGGAGGCUAUGAUGACUAGACGCCAGUAGAGUCGGAGCCAUCCUUGAGAUACCACCCUUGAAUAUUUGAGUUACUAACUGCGUACAAUUAUCUUGUAUCAGGACAAUGUCUGGUGGGUAGUUUGACUGGGGCGGUCGCCUCCUAAAAAGUAACGGAGGCUUACAAAGGUUAGUUCAAAGCGGAUGGAAAUCGCUUGUUGAGUAUAAUGGCAUAAACUAGCUUGACUGUGAGACAUACAAGUCGAACAGAGACGAAAGUCGGUCAUAGUGAUCCGGUGGUUCUGCGUGGAAGGGCCAUCGCUCAAAGGAUAAAAGGUACGCCGGGGAUAACAGGCUGAUCUCCCCCAAGAGCUCACAUCGACGGGGAGGUUUGGCACCUCGAUGUCGGCUCAUCGCAUCCUGGGGCUGUAGUCGGUCCCAAGGGUAUGGCUGUUCGCCAUUUAAAGCGGUACGCGAGCUGGGUUCAGAACGUCGUGAGACAGUUCGGUCCCUAUCUUCCGUGGGCGUAGGAAAGUUGAAGAGAUUUGUCCCUAGUACGAGAGGACCGGGAUGAACCAACCACUGGUGUACCAAUUGUUCUGCCAAGAGCAUCGUUGGGUAGCCACGUUGGGAUGUGAUAAGAGCUGAAAGCAUCUAAGCUCGAAGCCAACUCUAAGAUUAACUUUCCCUGAAGUUCCCAGUAAGACUAACUGGUUGAUAGGCUAGAUGUGUAAGCGCUGUAAGGCGUUUAGCUGACUAGUACUAAUAGAACGUUUGGCUUAUUUAA